AGACCCUGACAAUAAUUGAAUCGAUCGAGGCUGAAACGAACCGUCGACGAGUCUAACUUCUCGUCUUUCCCUUCUGCUCCGUUACCUCGCCCUGGUACUUACAUUUCUACCGUGCAAAUCAUCGUGAACUUGGUGUAUCGCGUUCAGUUCGUUCUGCUGUUUCGUCAAAAGGUAUUUUACCGGCUCUCUACACCGUCUAUCAAUAUUUGUUCGUUUCACUACGCUUUAGCAAUCUUGAUCGUUUCGACAACGAGUCGUUUCUGGAAGUGGGCUAUGAUCGAUAUUUCGUCGGUUCCUUGCAUCGCUUUUUAACGAUCUGUUCUUACGCAGACUGACAGGAAGCUUCUGCUCAACCGAGGACCGGAUGGGCUUCCUUUACGAGCAAUGGCGAAUAAAUUAGCUUUCUUUUGCUCACAAUCAGCCUAAUGUCUACCGUGAACACAUCCGCGUUGGAAUUCGCUGAAUUAUCCAACCCAAAUGCUGUUUGCGACUGUU
rnacentral:misc_RNA from 1 species